rnacentral:rRNA from 1 species
GGUUAAGCGACUAAGCGUACACGGUGGAUGCCCUGGCAGUCAGAGGCGAUGAAGGACGUGCUAAUCUGCGAAAAGCGUCGGUAAGGUGAUAUGAACCGUUAUAACCGGCGAUGUCCGAAUGGGGAAACCCAGUGCAAUUCGUUGCACUAUCGUUAACUGAAUACAUAGGUUAACGAGGCGAACCGGGGGAACUGAAACAUCUAAGUACCCCGAGGAAAAGAAAUCAACCGAGAUUCCCCCAGUAGCGGCGAGCGAACGGGGAGCAGCCCAGAGUCUGAAUCAGCUUGUGUGUUAGUGGAACGGUCUGGAAAGUCCGACGGUACAGGGUGAUAGUCCCGUACACCAAAAUGCACAGGUUGUGAACUCGAAGAGUAGGGCGGGACACGUGGUAUCCUGUCUGAAUAUGGGGGGACCAUCCUCCAAGGCUAAAUACUCCUGACUGACCGAUAGUGAACCAGUACCGUGAGGGAAAGGCGAAAAGAACCCCGGCGAGGGAGUGAAAAAGAACCUGAAACCGUGUACGUACAAGCAGGUGGAGCACCUUCGGGUGUGACUGCGUACCUUUUGUAUAAUGGGUCAGCGACUUAUAUUCUGUAGCAAGGUUAACCGUAUAGGGGAGCCGCAGGGAAACCGAGUCUUAACUGGGCGUUAAGUUGCAGGGUAUAGACCCGAAACCCGGUGAUCUAGCCAUGGGCAGGUUGAAGGUUGGGUAACACUAACUGGAGGACCGAACCGACUAAUGUUGAAAAAUUAGCGGAUGACUUGUGGCUGGGGGUGAAAGGCCAAUCAAACCGGGAGAUAGCUGGUUCUCCCCGAAAGCUAUUUAGGUAGCGCCUCGUGAACUCAUCUUCGGGGGUAGAGCACUGUUUCGGCUAGGGGGUCAUCCCGACUUACCAACCCGAUGCAAACUACGAAUACCGAAGAAUGUUAUCACGGGAGACACACGGCGGGUGCUAACGUCCGUCGUGAAGAGGGAAACAACCCAGACCGCCAGCUAAGGUCCCAAAGUCAUGGUUAAGUGGGAAACGAUGUGGGAAGGCACAGACAGCCAGGAUGUUGGCUUAGAAGCAGCCAUCAUUUAAAGAAAGCGUAAUAGCUCACUGGUCGAGUCGGCCUGCGCGGAAGAUGUAACGGGGCUAAACCAUGCACCGAAGCUGCGGCAGCGACACUAUGUGUUGUUGGGUAGGGGAGCGUUCUGUAAGCCUGCGAAGGUGUGCUGUGAGGCAUGCUGGAGGUAUCAGAAGUGCGAAUGCUGACAUAAGUAACGAUAAAGCGGGUGAAAAGCCCGCUCGCCGGAAGACCAAGGGUUCCUGUCCAACGUUAAUCGGGGCAGGGUGAGUCGACCCCUAAGGCGAGGCCGAAAGGCGUAGUCGAUGGGAAACAGGUUAAUAUUCCUGUACUUGGUGUUACUGCGAAGGGGGGACGGAGAAGGCUAUGUUAGCCGGGCGACGGUUGUCCCGGUUUAAGCAUGUAGGCUGGUUAUCCAGGCAAAUCCGGAUAAUCAAGGCUGAGGUGUGAUGACGAGGCACUACGGUGCUGAAGUAACAAAUGCCCUGCUUCCAGGAAAAGCCUCUAAGCAUCAGGUAACAUCAAAUCGUACCCCAAACCGACACAGGUGGUCAGGUAGAGAAUACCAAGGCGCUUGAGAGAACUCGGGUGAAGGAACUAGGCAAAAUGGUGCCGUAACUUCGGGAGAAGGCACGCUGGUGUGUAGGUGAAGUCCCUGCGGAUGGAGCUGAGACCAGUCGAAGAUACCAGCUGGCUGCAACUGUUUAUUAAAAAACACAGCACUGUGCAAACACGAAAGUGGACGUAUACGGUGUGACGCCUGCCCGGUGCCGGAAGGUUAAUUGAUGGGGUUAUCCGUAAGGAGAAGCUCUUGAUCGAAGCCCCGGUAAACGGCGGCCGUAACUAUAACGGUCCUAAGGUAGCGAAAUUCCUUGUCGGGUAAGUUCCGACCUGCACGAAUGGCGUAAUGAUGGCCAGGCUGUCUCCACCCGAGACUCAGUGAAAUUGAACUCGCUGUGAAGAUGCAGUGUACCCGCGGCAAGACGGAAAGACCCCGUGAACCUUUACUAUAGCUUGACACUGAACAUUGAGCCUUGAUGUGUAGGAUAGGUGGGAGGCUUUGAAGCGUGGACGCCAGUCUGCGUGGAGCCAACCUUGAAAUACCACCCUUUAAUGUUUGAUGUUCUAACGUUGGCCCCUGACCGGGGUUGCGGACAGUGUCUGGUGGGUAGUUUGACUGGGGCGGUCUCCUCCCAAAGCGUAACGGAGGAGCACGAAGGUUAGCUAAUCCUGGUCGGACAUCAGGAGGUUAGUGCAAUGGCAUAAGCUAGCUUGACUGCGAGCGUGACGGCGCGAGCAGGUGCGAAAGCAGGUCAUAGUGAUCCGGUGGUUCUGAAUGGAAGGGCCAUCGCUCAACGGAUAAAAGGUACUCCGGGGAUAACAGGCUGAUACCGCCCAAGAGUUCAUAUCGACGGCGGUGUUUGGCACCUCGAUGUCGGCUCAUCACAUCCUGGGGCUGAAGUAGGUCCCAAGGGUAUGGCUGUUCGCCAUUUAAAGUGGUACGCGAGCUGGGUUUAGAACGUCGUGAGACAGUUCGGUCCCUAUCUGCCGUGGGCGCUGGAGAAUUGAGGGGGGCUGCUCCUAGUACGAGAGGACCGGAGUGGACGCAUCACUGGUGUUCGGGUUGUCAUGCCAAUGGCACUGCCCGGUAGCUAAAUGCGGAAGAGAUAAGUGCUGAAAGCAUCUAAGCACGAAACUUGCCCCGAGAUGAGUUCUCCCUGAGACUAUAAGUCUCCUGAAGGAACGUUAAAGACGAUGACGUUGAUAGGCCGGGUGUGUAAGCGCAGCGAUGCGUUGAGCUAACCGGUACUAAUGAACCGUGAGGCUUAACCUU